GGACUGACGGAUUCGUUGUCAUGCCCCGUUACAAGUGCUCUUAUUAGUUAGGAGGAGGAAGAGACGUUGCUUAGGGGACACGCAUCACACCUGGAAGUCUCCUACUCUCUUUCUUCUCUAUCUCUCUCCCGUCUUGGUUUGGUGAAAUCCGUGGGUUUGGAAUCCAAAUCGUCGUGAUUGAUCGUCGAGGACGAAUCAGUGGGCGAUUCCGUUAGCUAUGGUGGGGUGGGUGAUAGCGUUACACGGCGGCGCCGGAGCCAUUCCGAUCAAUCUCCCUGACGAGCGACGUAUCCCUCGCGAGACCGCCCUCCGUCACUGCCUCGAUCUCGGCGUUCCGCCCUCAAAUCCGGCAAACAUCCACUUGACGUCACCGAACUCGUCGUACGCCUCUCUCUCUCUCUCUCAGUCGGAUCGUUUUGUGAUUCGGUUAUCAUAUAGUUUUGUAGCUAUCGAUGAGGAAACUGAUUACUAGGAGACGAAAUAGAUAGUCAACGGUUUUAGUUUCUGAGUUAUGGUGUACACUGCUUAAUCUGAAUCUGAAACUAUCAGUUUUUUUCUAGGUUCUGGUUAAGCUUAAUAUUGAGUUCUCUUUUACUUUUUCUUGCACAUGCAUUCUUGCUUGUCUUGAUGGGUAUAUGAACAUAGCAAUGGAUCAGACAGAGGAGUAUGUCAACGGCCAGCUCAAGAACAAAUACGGUGAUGCCUUGGCGCUUAGAGAUGAGUACUUUGCUGUUGAUGAUGAUGAAGAAGAAGCUGCUGCGUUGGCGCUUAGAGAUGAUGAGAUUCGAUCACAAAGCAUUUAUAGCUCUCGGCUUUGUUGCGUUAAGAGCUGAUGGAGAGAGGGAGCUUCUGUUCUUCAGACACCCAAGUGCUGAUAUGCUUCUUACGGAAGCUGAGCUUGACAAGAACUUAAUCCAAAAGGUGAGAUGACUUAUGUAAAUCUUCAACUAAACCCUGAGAUGAUGAUCAUCAUCAUCAGCUUGCCAAGAAACUAACAGCCGUUGACCUUGUUGCUAUUGGAGUUGGAACAACAAUUGGAGCAGGAGUGUAUAUUCUAGUGGGAACAGUAGCUAGACAACACACAGGACCUGCUCUUGCUGUAUCGUUCUUCAUCGCUGGAGUAGCAGCUGCUCUCUCCGCUUGUUGCUAUGCUGAGCUUGUUCUUAUUGUCCAUCUGCUGGCAGUGCUUAUCAUUAUGCUUACAUCUUCUUGGAGAAGGCUUACUAACCGAGUAGCAAACAUCGAAUCGUACACGUGUCAUAGCGGCCACGAAACGGGAAGGUCCUUCUAGUUCCAACAACAGUAACGACGCAGCAAGCAGAGAUGCAAAGGAAAACAAUGCGCUCUAAAACAUUCAGUCACAGAAUCAAUUAAAGGCAUAUACAUGAUGAUGAUCAUUGUUUAUAGCUUUCGUCCUAAAAACCAAACAGGUGAGGUACUAGAAAGGUCAUUCCACUUGGAACAUUCCUAUUGGCAACCAUUGGGAAGUUUAACAAAACGGUGCUGAAACUUCAAUCAAACAACACAAGAAUACACCAAGAGGUGUUUUACAGGUCACUGUUAUGUUUAGUUUAAGUUGGAUGUGUUUGUCUGGUUUUAGCGCCAUAUCUCAAAAUUCAGUAAUUGAAGUUGUAUUCUGUAUCAUUUAGAUGUCUGUGAUUACAUUGUAUGCUCUAUCAAUCGCAUAUUGCAGGCAAAAUAAAUACUAAAACUACCUUAA